CGCGCUUCUGGGGCAUGCUGGCCGACCUGCGUCGCUUCUAUCGGCAAGCGCCGGCGGUGCUGCACAGCCAGGAGCGCUUCAGCACGCUGGGCGCGU
rnacentral:tRNA from 1 species